GGGGGUCAGUUCAGAACUGAAACUUGCAGAGGAAAGAGAGCAGAGGAGCGAGACAGAGAGAGGUAAAAGACAACUUUGAAAGACACUUAAACAUGUUAUUUUGUGAUUGUGGAAAGGCUGGAGUUAUUUAUUCUUACCUUUUUGAUUUUCUGCUAAAGUAACUGAAGAGUGUUGAAAAACAGGAUGUGCUGUAGUUUUCUCAGUUCAUGAAUUCAAAAGCUGUUUUUAGGGUCCAAAGCUGACGUUGUUGUAAAGAUUAUUAAGUUUUUAACAGCAUUAGAGACACACCGAGAACAGGGCUGUGACACUAAAAAUCUCUGGAUAGCUCAGACACCUUAACAUACGAUGAAAAAGCUAAACAUAAGAAACAAAAACAGAGUUCUGAGAAAUGUGGGAUACUAAAAGUGCGUAUUUAUGAUCAAAAAGAUUAAAAACCAAAAAAACCUGUCAGUUUAGGCAGAGGAGAAAUAAGCUGUGUUUGCAGAACCUUCCUGAAAUCUGGUUGCACACCGAAAGGAGAAAUAGAAAAGAGAGAAGAGACAUUUGAGCGCUGAAACUUGUAGAGAAAAGAGAGCGGAGGAAGGAGACAGAUGGAGGUAUGAAAGAGUUUGGAAAUUAAUUUUGGGAGAGUAAAUAGAAGUUUCCAGAGUGUUUUCCUUCAUCCUUACAGAGUUAUUAAAAUGCUUUUUGAUAGUCUUUAGUUUGCUGGUAAAGUAAGAGUGUAGACUGGAUUGGAGGGAGACUUAAAAUGAGGAAGACUGCAUAACGGCUGUAUUGGAAACUAUUAGUGAGGUCUGGAGAGGCUGAAACGGCCAAGAGCUGCUAUUGUUAUUAAAAUCAUUGUAGUUAAAUCAACGACUGAUCAAUGCUGAGCUGUACAAACUCUCCUGAGUGUGACGUGUGAACCGUGGAGCUGCUGAAAAUGAACAAUCUUGUAUUUUAGGACUGUCAUGUCAGCUUUGAGCUUCACUUUGUCACUUUCUUCAUGUUUACUGUGAAAAUCUUUUCUGCAGCGGGAGAGAGACCGACAGUCUCAACAACCAACUCAGGAUGUUUGUCCUCAUAUGGACAACUCUGCUUUUCUCUGUGAUGGACAGCAGAGCAGACACAGGUGUGUAACUUCAUAGUGAUCUUAAGGUGACAAAAUUUCAAAUCUAACAGACUCCUGACUCAUGAAUACGAAGCGUUAUGUUCAGGCAGACGUUACAGAGCAUGUGAGUGUCAGAGCGAGGACCUCCAUUACACUGUUCAGAAACAAACAGCCAACAACAACCCUAAGACUCUAUAAUUCACCCUAAUUUGUCUUCUGUUUUAUCCUUGUGGCACAAUGAGCCAAAAUCAGCAGCUGUUUUUCUCAGUUUGUUGUAAAAUAUCAGAUUUUUUUGGCCCCAAUAACACCCACUUUUGUGUCUCUGCUCACUAGAAAGAAGAUCCGCCUGUCAAAAUGAAUUCUGUAUCACUCUCAGUGACGGAGAAAUAGGAGCUGAAGCUGGACUGUGCGUUGUGAUACCGUGCUCUUUCAAUACAAGCUCAACCUUCAUUCCCCAGAAUAUUGUGUGGUUCAAAUGUGAACCAUCCAAACCAAGAUGUACUGAUCAAGAUGUGAUAUACAAAAAGAACGACAAAAAGGUUCAGUCUGGAUUUAAAGGCAGAGUAAAACAGUUGGAGCCCGGUACGAGUCAGAGGAAGUGCAGCAUCAUCAUCAAUGACCUGACUGUGUCAGACUCUGGAUCAUAUCAGCUCAGAGUUAACGGUUUCAGUCCUGGCAAGGAUAAAGAUGGAUUCCAGUAUUCCUUAAGAGCGAAUGUCUCUGUUAAAGGUACGAAGAGCUACACAAACACACUGAGGAGGUCUAUGAUGUCGUGUGCAAACAAACUCCAACAGAGUAUUUCAGCUGUAAAAACUCAUAUGAAGUAAAUUUUAGCAUUUGUUGCUCUCUGCUGGUAAUCUGUGAGAACUGCAGCCAUUCAUAUUAUUACUCUUAUUCUCCUUGAUUCUUAUUUUUUCAGUAUCUGAGUAAAUUUAAUCCCCAAAAUAAAGUGUUUUAAUAGUUUCCAUGCUGCUCACCUCAUGUACUCAUGGACCUCUCUCUCAUCAGCUCUGACCCAGAAGCCCACAGUGAUGAUUCCUCCUCUGACAGAGGGACAGCAGACCACACUGAGCUGCACUGCUCCUGGUCUCUGCUCUGGAUCUGCUCCUCAGAUCACCUGGAUGUGGAGACGAGGAGAAAACGACUCUGUCAUUAGAGGAAACUUCAGUACUGAGAGGCUGUCUGCUGCUGCACAAAGACACAGCUCAACUUUGACCUUUACUCCCUCAGCUGAGGACCAUGGUACUGAGGUCACCUGUAAGGUCAGCUUUAAAGGGGGGGCGACAACAGAGCAGACAGAGACUCUGAAUGUAACCUGUAAGUGUCACAAAGUCUACUAAAGGCCACAGUUAUAAAUAUUAUAUUUGUUUUAAAUGAUGAAGUGUAUAAUUUUGUCUUACAGAUGUAAAGGAAGUUCAACUCUUAUGGAACACGGAUGUGAAAGAGGGUGAGACUCUGAAUCUGAGGUGCAACGUUGAGAGUUUCCCUCCAUCUCUCAUCACAUGGACAAAACUUCCUGAUAACAACACACAAACCGGAACAGAAACUGAUCUGCAAAAUGACACUUUAACUGAUCAGGAGAAGAAAACUGAAAUCUUCCUGAAGGAGGGAAUCGGGGAGUCGACUUUUUCCAUCUCUAAUGUGACUGUAAAGGAUUCAGGACUGUACAUCUGCAGAGCAAAACACCUGAACAACACCCUGAUGAAGGAAGUGGAUGUCAAUGUGAUAUGUAAGUGCCAACAAAUGUUCAACCUCAGUGCCAUCUAGUGGUGAUAAUGGAAAAAAUCAGACAAACGCCUACAUGUGGAAACCUUCAUAUGAGUGCUAAUUAAUUAUAUUACACAUAAAUUAUAAAGGAACUGAUACCAGGGUUAAUUAGUUUCAUAUAAUUUUCUAUUAAGUCUGUUGUCCAGAUGCAUACACAUAUAAUUACUCAUAUAAUCUAACAGAUAACAAAAGAAUAUACUCAUGUUAUCCUCUUGAAGUAGAAAGUUCAGUUUCAUUCUUCUAACUUCAUUAUGACUUUUGUUCACAGACAUGAAAACACCUGUAAUCACUGGGAAUACGUCUGUCACUAAAGGGGACUCUCUGAAUCUGACCUGCAGCGUUGAAAGUUUUCCUCCAUCUCAUAUCACUUGGACUUUACUUGGUUCUGGUUCUGACCUGCAGAACGACACGGGAUCAGCCACACUGCUCAUCAGUGAUGUGCAGGCAGAAAACUCUGGAAGGUACAUCUGUACAGCAAAACACCUGAACACGACUGUGACUGUAUUCACUGACGUUUCUGUGACAUGUAAGUGGACUGGACUCAUCUUCCUAUAAGAAACUUCAUGUUCAGAUUUCCCAUGAAGGUUGUUUUGUAAUGUUGUGAUUCUUUUUGUGUGUUUACAGGGAUUCAAAGCAUCUUGAAAGACUCUGGUUGUCAGAUUAGGUCAGAGGUCUUGACUUGUGUGUGUGUCAGUGAAGGUUUUCCUUUACCCACCAUCGAAUGGCCGCUGUUGAAGAACCACGCUAAGUACUCUGCCAUUAAUACUGUGACAAACCACACGAUCAGCAGCACCAUCACAGUGACUGCUAAAGACCACAGCAACACCUCUGCAGAGUGUGUCAGCAGCAACAGAAAUCGAGAAGUCAAAGAAAAUCUCACCAUCCAAAUUAACAUGCCAGAAAUAGAAGGUACAUGUCCUCGACCAAACUACUUCUGCUACUGCAAACUAAAGACCUCUGUGACCUUUGUGUGAGGAAGUCUACUGUAUAAUGCAAGCUGUGCAAGUUCAUCUGCAUGUUCACUGACACUGAAAGUUUUGUGUUGUUCCUCUUAAAGCAGAUCAGUCCUGGGUAUCAAAAACAUUUUCAUGGGUGGAAGUCAUCACUGCCUUUUUUCUGGGCUUAAUUCUCUCAGCUGUCCUUUGGUGUUUGGCAACAAUAUGCCAGAGGUAUUCUAUUAACUCCAAAGAGUUCCUCAUGGUUUGACAUUUGGAUGAUUGUUAUACAUACAUUGAAAUGGUUUGCUUUGUUUUCUCCAGACAAAGACAGAGGAGUUCUGGAAAUAUGGGGAAGACUUUGGUGAUGGUGACCAGUCAGGAGGAUCCCCUGGUAAUUAGAAUUCAUUCUGUUGUAGUUCCCUGACUGUCGGCUUAAGACUGGAUGCAGAACCACCAAAAUCACACCACACCGAAAAAUCCACUUUUUAAAGCAAAAGUAAACACCCUGAUGGUCUGGCCUCCCAUGCCAGUCUGUGUACAAGGAGCAAUGUUUUUGUAUAUAUAUAUAUAUAUAUAUAUAUAUAUAUAUAUAUAUAUAUAUAUAUAUAUAUAUAUAUAUAUAUAUAUAUAUAUAUAUAUACACAUAUAUAUAAAUAUAAAUAUAAAUAUAUAAAUAUAUAUAUUUAUACAUACACACACACACACACACACACACACAUAUAUAUAUAUAUAUAUAUAUACACAUUUAUAUAUACACGUAUAUAUAUAAAAAAAAUAUAUAUAAAAUAUUUAUAUAAAUAUAUAUAUAUAUAUGUAUAUAUAAAUGUAUAUAUGUGUGUGUGUAUAGAUUUAUAUAUAUAUAUAUAUAUUUCUAUAUAAAUGUACAUAUAUAUUUAUUUAUACAUAGGACUAGCCACCAAACACCACUCUACUCCAGCAGCCGCUUGUUUGUGGGGGAGCCCUGACAAGUUGAUCACCGAGUGCAGUGGAGUUUAGCAGCUCAAGGAAGAAAAUUUAGGAUCAUUACUUCAUGGAAAUGCAGUCAGACCGAACACUAAGGCAGAAGAACUACUGCGCCUGCAGUGCACAUACAAAAUACACAAGAAGUUUGAUUGCAUUUCCAUUAAGAAAUCAUCAUAAAUUUUCUUCCUUGAGCUGCGAAACUCCGCCACACUCGGCGAUCGACUUCUCAGGGCUGAUAAACAAGUCUUGUCAUUCAUGUUUUACUUGACAGAUGGAUGCUAGCCAAGAAGAAGAAGAAAAUCACACCUACUACCAAGAGGAAAGAGGAGGAAAAGCUGUGUCAGGGGAGAAAACAGCCCUUAAAGUGAACGGUGAAGCAAAAGAUGUGGAGUACGCCAGCAUUGAUUUCGCUGUGCUGAAAAGGAGGGCAGCAAAGAAGAAGGAGAGCACAAAAACAGAGUACGCUGAAAUUAGGAAAGACAUGAUAGAGCGAAGAGAAAACCACAGUGGAGUUAAAGAUGAAACACUGGGGGAAGAAGAGGAGGAGACAACUGAUUUGGUCACAGAGGAGGAGGAAGGAGAGGGUGUGGCAGUGUACUCCAAUCUGAGGGAUGUAAUAAAUGGGACAUGAGGACAGUGUUCAGAUAUGAAGAACUGAAGUAGUUCACUGAUGAUGGAUUGUUUUACUGUGAGGGACUAAAUUACAAGUCUAUACGUUUAAAAUGAGGCACCAGCUCGGUCCUCUCAGCUCUGGGAGCUGAAGCUAAGUGUAAUUUUGGUCCACUCAAAGCUCUUCAGAGUGGACUGAAUGUCUGUUCCUGUGGAAAAAUUAAAUCCUCCCUUUAACCCUGUGAAGCUAACCUGUCACUUCUCAGUGGCUGUGAUGACUGUAAGACAAUAGUGCAGUGCUGAUAUGGUGAAGAGUGCUUUAAUAAUCGUAUGCAUGGGUUUAUGAUGAAAGGGUUAUAUUUAUAUGAUACAGAUUUUGAAGAGAAGGAUGUUAAACAUCAUAAUUAAAGACUCCUCACUGUCCCGAAUGAGGCCGAGGACUGUGGUGUUGUCUUCUUCAGGACUUUGACAGAUGGAUCCUCUGAGAUCAAGUCAUUUAUGUGGAGGGAGAAGAGCAGUGGGGAAAGAACGCACACCAUCAGCGUAGAUCUAGGUGCUACUAGAUGUGAUCCCCACACCCAUCCUCAGACGAAUUAAGUGUCUGAAUGAAUGAGCGAGUGUGAGAGUUUUCUUCCACAGCUAUAUCUGACCCUGACUUUCAAAGAGAAGAAACUGUUGAGCAGUUUGUUUUCAUCAAUUCUUGUCUUACUUCUGGCACACUGCAGGAAAAAGUAGCUGUAAAUAAAGUGUUCAGUAAACUGACUGGUUAAAAACAA
rnacentral:lncRNA from 1 species